UAACUUACCUGGACGGGGUCAAUGGGUGAUCAAGAAGGCCCAUGGCCUAGGUUGGUGACCUUCAUUGCACUCAGGAGGGGUGCCCGACUAAGCUCGGCCCAAGUGGUCUAGCCUACGUCAUAAUUUGUGCCAGUCCAUAUUGGUGGGAUUAUAUGGU
rnacentral:snRNA from 2 species